rnacentral:rRNA from 1 species
CCUACGGGAGGCAGCAGUGGGGGAUAUUGCACAAUGGGGGAAACCCUGAUGCAGCGACGCCGCGUGGGUGAAGAAGCGCCUCGGCGCGUAAAGCCCUGUCAGCAGGGAAGAAAAUGACGGUACCUGAAGAAGAAGCCCCGGCUAACUACGUGCCAGCAGCCGCGGUAAGAAGUAGGGUGCAAGCGUUAUCCGGAUUUACUGGGUGGAAAGGGGGCGCAGACGGCGAUGAAAGCCAGGAGUGAAAGCCCGGGGCCCAACCCCGGGACUGCUCUUGGAACUGCGUGGCUAGAGUGCAGGAGGGGCAGGCGGAAUUCCUGGUGUAGCGGUGAAAUGCUUAGAUAUCACGAAGAACUCCGAUUGCGAAGGCAGCUCACUGGACUGCAACUGACACUGAGGCUCGAAAGUGUGGGUAUCAAACAGGAUUAGAUACCCUAGUAGUC